AGACUCUUUGCAAAGCAGCCGAUCAGAUCCGUUUUUCUUCCUCCUAGUACAGCAGAAACUUGUGUACCUAACCGAGAUCACCAGUUACCAACUUUCCUUCCGCUCAGUUAGAUAGCCCCAUAGGCAUAGAUCAAGUAUCGGACAACUAGAACUACAGGCCUACCCUGACAAUGGAUGCCCAUGAAUCAAUAGAGAAUGGACUGGAAAGUGUAACGUUUGAUGUGUGGCAAGACAUCUUGUUGCCAAUGUUGUCUAUUCAAGACAUAUUUCAGCUCUGCGGUGUAAGCAAAUCCAUGCAACGGUUGCUGCUCAAUGAGUACACGUUCAGACAACUUUGUUUGCAACGCUAUCAUCUCAGUCCACAUUUGAAAGUGCCAUAUAUUCGAGUUGCAAA